rnacentral:rRNA from 1 species
UACGUAGGGUGCAAGCGUUGUCCGGAAUUAUUGGGCGUAAAGGGCUCGUAGGCGCCAACUAAGUCAGACGUGAAAUCCCUCGGCUUAACCGGGGAACUGCGUCUGAUACUGGUUGGCUUGAAUCCGGGAGAGGGAUGUGGAAUUCCAGGUGUAGCGGUGAAAUGCGUAGAUAUCUGGAGGAACACCGGUGGCGAAGGCGGCAUCCUGGACCGGUAUUGACGCUGAGGAGCGAAAGCCAGGGGAGCAAACGGG